rnacentral:rRNA from 1 species
CAGGGAGCGCGUGCCUCGCAAGCAUGUGGGCUUCGACGCCGAUCGGGACAGCGGAGGAAAAGAAACUAACCCGGUUUCCCUCCCUGUUCAACGGCAGGUGUAGUAAAUGUGGCGUACAGAAGACAGACUUCCCAGUAUCGCUCAGGGGGCCCAAAUCCUUCUGACCGAGUCUCACCCUGCGUGCUGUUUUAGGACAGUAGCAGCCCCUUGUAUGCCAGGUUCUUGUCUUCUCUGAGUCAGGUUGCUUCGGAAUGCAGCCCAAAGAGAGUGGUAAACUCCAUCUAAGGCUAAAUACGGUAGCGAGACCGAUGGCCAACAAGUACGUAAGGGAAAGUUGAAAAGAACUUUGAAGAGAGAGUUCAAGAGGGCGUGAAACCGUCGAGAGGUAAACGGGUGGGGUCCGUGCAGUCCGCCCGGAGGAUUGAACAUGACAGCGAGGUUGGUCGCCUGGAAUAGUGGAUGCCCCUCGCGGGACUGCGGCCCGGGCCCACCCGGCACCCGCAGGGCACAUUUCCUCUGAGGCGGUGCAUCGCGACUGGCUGGGUAGGCCACAGGGGGCAGGUGGCUCUCUGCUCUGGCAGAGAGUGUUACAGCCCCGUGACAGCAGUUUUGCUGUGUCCACGGGGCCGUGGGAGAUUGACCGCCGCCAUGCCCCUCUCCGGCAACUGUCCCUGGCCCCUCCUGGGAGUCGACGGGGCGGCGACUGAGACAGGGCUCCCGAUGUGUCUUUGGUGGACUGCCCUCAGUGCGUCCCGACCACGUCGUGACGCCGGGUGUGGAGGCCCACAAAGGGCGCCAGGGUUCUGGGGUGAUGUCAGUUAACCACCCAACGUGUCUUGAAACACAGACCAAGGAGUCUAAUACGUGUACAAGUCGGAGGGCUGAAUGAAACGUUGUGAUGCAAUGAAGGUGAGGGCCGGCACAUGCUGAUUGUGGUGGGAAUUGCGGUGGGAUCCUGUCGCGGUGGCCGCACCACCAACGCGUCUCGCCCGCUAUGUCAGGGAGAUGGAGCAUGAGCAUGUGUGUUAGGACCUGAAAGAUGGUGAACUAGGCCUGGUGGAGGUCUGUAGCGGUCCUGGUGUGUAAAUCAGUUUUCUGACCUAGGUAUAGGGGUGAAAAACAAAUCAAACCUUCUAGUAGCUGGUUCCCUCUGAAUUUUCCCUCCGUAUAGCUGGCGCACGGAAACCCCAGUUUUAUCUAGUAAAGCAAAUGAUUAGAGGUCUUUGGGCCAAAAUGAUCUCAACCUGUUCUCAAACUUUUAAUUUGUAAGAAGCCCGGCUCGCUGGCGUGGAGCCGGGCAUUGAAUGCAAGUGCCCAGUGGGCAACUUUUGGUAAGCGACACUGGCGCUGCAGGACGAACUGAAUGCCUGAUGUCGAUGCUUAUCAGACCCCAGAAAAGAUGUUGGUUGAUAUAGACAGCAGGACGGUGGCCAUGGAUGUCGGAAUCCGCUAAGGAGUGUGUAACAACUCACCUGCUGAAUCAACUAGCUCUGAAAAUGGAUGGCGCUGGAUCCUCGGGCCUAUACCCGGCCGGCACUGAGAGCCAUGGGGGCUAAGCCACGAAGAGCAGGAGGGCCACUGCAGUGCACACAGAAGCCCGGGACGAGGGCCCAAGUGGAGCCGCUGCAGGUGCAGAUCUUGGUGGUAGUAACAAAUUUUCAAACGAGAACUUUGAAGGCCGAAGUGUAGAAGGGAUCCAUGUGAACAGCAGUUGAGCAUGGGUCAGUCAGCCAUAAGAGAUGGGCGAGCACCGUUCGAAGGGACGGGCAACAGACUCUGUUGCCCUCAGCCUAUCGAAAGGGAGUCUGGUUCAGAUCCCCGAACUCGGAGUGGCAGAGAUGGGUGCCCUUGCGGCAUCCAGUGUGGUAACGCAAAUUAUCCCAUGGAAGCCGGGGAGAGUUCUCUUUUGUUUGUGAAGGGCAGGGCACCCUGGAAUGGGUUUGCCCCGAGAGCGGGGCCUGAGCCUUGGAAAGCGUUGCGGUUCCGGCGGCAUCUGGUGAGCUCUUGCUGGUCCUUGAAAAUCCAGGGGAAAUGGUGUAAAUCUCACACCGGGCCGUACCCAUAUCUGCAGGCGGUCUCCAAGGUGAUGUUGGAACAAUGUAUGUAAGGGAAGUCUGCAAGUCAGAUCCGUAACUUCGGGAUAAGGAUUGUUUUUAAUGGUUGGGUCAGUUGGGUUGGGAGCGCGCCGCGGCUGGAUGAGGCAUCUUCCCCCCCGGGGGGGUGCUGACUCUGGAUGGAAGCCGGGCCCUUCCUGCGGAUCGCCCCAUCUGCGGUGGUUGCCUCUCUCCAUUUGCCCUCCCGGGAAUCAGGACCGGCAUUCUGCCUCAGCCGACACCUAGCAGCUGACUUAGAACUGGUGCGGACCAGGGGAAUCUGACUGUCUAAAACAAGUGGUGUGUGUUGAGACAAUGUGAUUUCUGCCCAGUGCUCUGAAUGUCAAAGUGAAGAAAUUAAAUGAAGUGUGGGUAAACGGCGGGUGUAACUAUGACUCUCUUAAGGUAGUCAACUGCCUCAUCAUCUAAUUAGUGAUGCACAUGAAUGGAUGAACGAGAUUCCCACUGUCCCUACCUACUAUCUAGUGAAACCACAGCCAAGGGAACAGGGUUGGCAGAAUCAGCGUGGAAAGAAGACACUGUUGAUCUUGACUCUAGUCUGGCACUGUGAAGAGACAUGAGAGGUGUAGGAUAAGUGGGAGGCCCUCGGGCCACAGGUGAAAUACCACUACUCUAUUGUUUUUUCACCUAACUGGUGAGGCGGGGACGAGCCCUGUGGGGCUCUCGCUUCUGCGCGACCCGUUAUGGGUACAGUGGCAGGUGGGGAGUUUGACUGGGGUGGUACACCUGUCAAACGAUAACGCAGGUGUCCUAAGGCGAGCUCCGGGAAGACAGAAACCACCUGCGGAGCAGAAGGGCAAAAGCUAGCUUGAUCUCGAUUUUCAGUAUGAAUACAGACUGUGAAAGCAGGGCCUCAUGAUCCUGCUUACUUUUUUGGUUUCAAGCUGGAGGUGUCAGAAAAGUUACCACAAGGAUAACUGGCUUGUGGUGGCUAAGCGUUCAUAGCGACGUCGCAUUUUGAUCCUUCGAUGUCGUCUCUUCCUAUCAUUGUGAAGCAGAAUUCACCAAGCGUUGGAUUGUUCAUCCUCUAAUAGGGAACGUGAGGUGGGUUUAGACCGUCGUGAGACAGGUUAGUUUUACCCUACUGAUGAUGUGUUGUUGCAAUAGUAAUCCGGCUCAGUACGAGAACCGCAGGUUCAGACCUUUGGUGCAUGUGCUUGGCUGAGGUGCCAAUGGGGCGAAGCUACCAUCUGUAGGAUGGUC